rnacentral:lncRNA from 1 species
CUGUUAGGUUGCAAAAAUAGGAAUAAACGUUGUAGAUAUUUUUAAAUUAUCUUUAUAAGAAUUAUGUGAACAAAAUAUACUCUGUAUUAAAGUGAAACAAAAUGUUUGUCAAAUAAACAGAUAGUUACUUGUUAGAAUACUUACUCAGAUUAAAGUCUGUUAGGGUGCUGUUAUACCCUGUUCAUACAAGCUUAUUGCCAACAGGGCAUUCACUUUUUUAUUUUAUAUUGUUUGUUUUUCCUCAGUAUUAUUAUGUUAAAUAUUGAUGUAUUUACUUUAUUAUUAGUG